rnacentral:rRNA from 1 species
GCGUUAACGAACGAGACCUCGACCUGCUAAAUAGUUGGGCGAAUCCUCCGGGAUUCGUAUUCAUUUAACUUCUUAGAGGGACUAUCGGCGAUUUAGCCGAUGGAAGUUCGAGGCAAUAACAGGUCUGUGAUGCCCUUAGAUGUUCUGGGCCGCACGCGCGCUACACUGAUACGUUCAUCGAGCUUACAACCUUGGUUGAGAGGCCUGGGUAAUCUUUUGAAACCGUAUCGUGCUGGGGAUAGAUUAUUGUAAUUUUUAAUCUUCAACGAGGAAUUCCUAGUAAACGCUGGUCAUCAGCCAGCAUUGAUUACGUCCCUGCCCUUUGUACACACCGCCCGUCGCUAAUACCGAUUGAAUGGAUA